rnacentral:rRNA from 1 species
UAACAUACAGGUGCUGCACGGCUGUCGUCAGCUCGUGUCGUGAGAUGUUGGGUUAAGUCCCGCAACGAGCGCAACCCUCGUGUUUAGUUGCUAACAGGUUAAGCUGAGGACUCUAGACAGACUGCCUGGGUAACCAGGAGGAAGGUGAGGACGACGUCAAGUCAUCAUGGCCCUUACGGCCAGGGCUACAUACGUGCUACAAUGGGAUAUACAAAGAGCAGCGAUACCGCGAGGUGGAGCAAAUCUCAUAAAAUAUCUCCCAGUUCGGAUUACACUCUGCAACUCGUGUGUAUGAAGUUGGAAUCGCUAGUAAUCGUAGAUCAGCAAUGCUACGGUGAAUACGUUCCCGGGUCUUGUACUCNCCGCCC